rnacentral:rRNA from 1 species
ACGUAGGACGCGAGCGUUAUCCGGAGUUACUGGGCGUAAAGGGUGGGCAGGCGGCCGUGUCAGAUGGGUGUGAAAUCUCCCGGCUCAACCGGGAGGGGCCACUCGUGACUGCACGGCUGGAGGGCAGCAGAGGCGCGUGGAAUUCCGGGUGGAGUGGUGAAAUGCGUAGAGAUCCGGAGGAACACCAGAGGCGAAGGCGGCGCGCUGGGCUGCACCUGACGCUGAACCACGAAAGCCAGGGUAGCGAACGGGA